rnacentral:rRNA from 1 species
UACGUAGGGUGCGAGCGUAAUCGGAAUUACUGGGCGUAAAGGGUGCGCAGGCGGUUAUAUAAGACAGAUGUGAAAUCCCCGGGCUCAACCUGGGAACUGCGUUUGUGACUGUAUGACUAGAGUACGGUAGAGAGGGGUGGAAUUCCUGGUGUAGCAGUGAAAUGCGUAGAUAUCAGGAGGAACAUCGAUGGCGAAGGCAGCCCCUUGGACCUGGUACUGACGCUCAUGCACGAAAAGCGUGGGGAGCAAACAGG